AUUACCCCUGAUCUGUCACCAUCAAGAUUCACCAAACCCUUGCUAGCGUUCAUCUCGCUACGUGAGUAGUGAAUCUUGAUGAGGAUAAAACGGCAAUGAA
rnacentral:miRNA from 1 species